rnacentral:rRNA from 6 species
GAAGGUUACUAAGACUGGAUAGGAAACAAAAAGGCAUCUUUUUGUUUUUAAAAGACCUUCUUACGAAGGUAUGCUUAAAGAGGGGCUUGCGCCACAUUAGUUAGUUGGUAGAGUAAAAGCCUACCAAGACGAUGAUGUGUAGCUGGACUGAGAGGUUGAACAGCCACAUUGGGACUGAGACACGGCCCAAACUCCUACGGGAGGCAGCAGUAGGGAAUUUUCGGCAAUGGAGGAAACUCUGACCGAGCAACGCCGCGUGAACGAUGAAGUAUUUCGGUAUGUAAAGUUCUUUUAUUGAAGAAGAAAAAGUAGUGGAAAAACUAUAUUGACGUUAUUCAAUGAAUAAGCCCCGGCUAACUAUGUGCCAGCAGCCGCGGUAAGACAUAGGGGGCGAGCGUUAUCCGGAAUUAUUGGGCGUAAAGGGUGCGUAGGCUGUUAGAUAAGUCUAUAAUUUAAUUUCAGUGCUUAACGCUGUCUUGUUAUAGAAACUGUCUUGACUAGAGUGAGAUAGAGGCAAGCGGAAUUCCAUGUGUAGCGGUAAAAUGUGUAAAUAUAUGGAGGAACACCAGAAGCGUAGGCGGCUUGCUGGGUCUUUACUGACGCUGAGGCACGAAAGCGUGGGUAGCAAACAGGAUUAGAUACCCUGGUAGUCCACGCCGUAAACGAUGAGUACUAAGUGUCGGGGUAAAACUCGGUACUGAAGUUAACACAUUAAGUACUCCGCCUGAGUAGUACGUACGCAAGUAUGAAACUUAAAGGAAUUGACGGGACUCCGCACAAGCGGUGGAUCAUGUUGUUUAAUUCGAAGAUACACGAAAAAUCUUACCAGGUCUUGACAUACUCUGCAAAGCUAUAGAAAUAUAGUGGAGGUUAUCAGGGAUACAGGUGGUGCAUGGUUGUCGUCAGUUCGUGUCGUGAGAUGUUAGGUUAAGUCCUAAAACGAACGCAACCCUUGUCGUUAAUUGCCAGCACAUAAUGGUGGGGACUUUAACGAGACUGCCAAUUAAACAUUGGAGGAAGGUGAGGAUUACGUCAAAUCAUCAUGCCCCUUAUGAUCUGGGCUACAAACGUGAUACAAUGGCUGUGACAAAGAGUAGCUGAAACGCGAGUUUUUAGCCAAUCUCAAAAAAGCAGUCUCAGUUCGGAUUGAAGUCUGUAACUCGACUUCAUGAAGUUGGAAUCGCUAGUAAUCGCGAAUCAGCAUGUCGCGGUGAAUACGUUCUCGGGGUUUGUACACACCGCCCGUCA